rnacentral:rRNA from 1 species
AGCAGCCGCGGUAAUUCCAGCUCCAAUAGCGUAUAUUAAAGUUGUUGCAGUUAAAAAGCUCGUAGUUGAAUUUCGAGAUCAGUACGCUGGUCGUGCCUUCGGUAUGCACUGGUGUCACUGGUUUCUCCCUUCUGAAGAACCGUAAUGCCAUUCAGUUGGUGUGGCGGGGAAUCAGGAUUGUUACUUUGAAAAAAUUAGAGUGUUUAAAGCAGGCUCGCGCUUGAAUACAUUAGCAUGGAAUAAUGAAAUAGGACGUUUGAUCCUAUUUUGUUGGUUUCUAGGAUCGACGUAAUGAUUAAUAGGGAUAGUUGGGGGCAUUAGUAUUCAAUUGUCAGAGGUGAAAUUCUUGGAUUUAUUGAAGACUAACUACUGCGAAAGCAUUUGCCAAGGAUGUUUUCAUUAAUCAAGAACGAAAGUUAGGGGAUCGAAGACGAUCAGAUACCGUCGUAGUCUUAACCAUAAACUAUGCCGACUAGGGAUCGGAUGAUGUUAAUUUUUUAAUGGCUCAUUCGGCGCCUUACG